rnacentral:rRNA from 1 species
UACGUAGGGUGCGAGCGUUGUCCGGAAUUAUUGGGCGUAAAGAGCUUGUAGGCGGUUUGUCGCGUCUGCUGUGAAAAUCCGGGGCUCAACCCCGGACUUGCAGUGGGUACGGGCAGACUAGAGUGUGGUAGGGGGAGACUGGAAUUCCUGGUGUAGCGGUGAAAUGCGCAGAUAAUCAGGAGGAACACCGAUGGCGAAGGCAGGUCUCUGGGCCACUACUGACGCUGAGAAGCGAAAGCAUGGGGAGCGAACAGG